AAAAACUAGGAGCUAAUUAUUGACUUCAGGAGAAGAAACCAGAGGUCCUCAUCAGAGGAUCAGAGGUGGAGAGGGUUAGCAACUUUAAAUUCCUCGGUGUUGUUAUUUUGGAGGAACUGGCCUGAUCCCAGAACGUUUGAGUCAUGUCAGCUAUAAUCUGCCACUGGCUCCUGGCAAACUGCACAUUCCCAGUGAGGUGUAACUCAGAGGUCGAGUUGCCAGCUCGAUGCUUAACCCAGCACGGAUGGAAAGCACGCAAGGAGCCAGCCAGAUUCGAACCUGGGACCACUCGCUUCGAAGUACGAUGUGGACGCCACUACACCUCCAGCUGGCCAAGCUACACUAAUUCAUGUGUUGUGUUAAGUUAACUUUGUGAGUAAUUAAAAAUGGUAUGUGCUGGUGCCUAAUAAAAUGGGGCUCUUCACCCUCUGUAGGAGAGGGAGAUCGAGGCUGGCAGGAGAUCAUA